rnacentral:sRNA from 85 species
UUGCUAUCUGCGAUAUGGAAGAUUCGAACCUGCCGCAGGUUCGGGUCUCAUGCAGUGAGACAACGGAGCCGUUUACGGCGACGGCCCGAAGGGCGAGCGAAGCGAGUCAUCCUGCACGACCCACCA